UGUGAAACAUUGAGAUGUCCAAGUGGAAA
rnacentral:piRNA from 1 species